rnacentral:SRP_RNA from 1 species
ACCAGGUGUUGUGCCGCACAUGUGUAGUCGCAGCUGCUCAGGAGGCUGAGGUGGGAAGAUGCCUUAAGCCCAGGAGUUUUGGGCUGUAGUGUGCUGUGCCAGUCAGGCAUCUGGUGACCUCCCAGGAGCAGGGACCACCAGGUUACCUAAGGAGAGGUGAGCUGGAGGAGAUCAGAAACGGAGCAGAUCAAAACUCCUGUUCUGAUCAGUAGUGGUAUUGCACCCGUGAAUGCCACUGUACUCCAGCCUGGGCAACUUAGUGAGACCCUGUCUCU